UGUUUUGCUGUGAUGAAUCGCAAGGACGGUAUAUGAGCUAGUCGGCUGUUGAAAAAUGGCCUCCUUGCUUGAUUACGCACCCUUAACUGAUCAUAAAUUCUGAGCAAACG
rfam:Hordeum vulgare subsp. vulgare, WGS project CAJW01000000 data, contig: morex_contig_67903